GUUAUUCUGUUUGACUAAAAUUAAUGAUAGAAAAGAAGAACAUGCUUUUGGAUCUUGCAGGAUGAUUGCUACUACUCUGGAUAUGUGGAAGAUGUCCCAGAAUCUGUUGCAGUUCUCAGCACUUGCUCUGGACUCUGUUGAUGAAGACUCGCCUGAUCGAUGUGGAGUAACUGAUGAAGAUAUGGAAGAUCAAGCAGCUAAAGACAGAGAACAUCAAAUAUCUAAGGUUCAAAUGGAGAGACAGCUUGUAGCAGAUUUUCGCCAUGAAGAUUCCAAUGAAACUUUGUUGACAUUGAAGAUGCUCCAGUAUGUACAUUUAACAAGUGAAAUGUACCGUCCAUUUGGCCUUCACGUUGUUCUGAUUGCAUUAGAGCUUUGGACAGAAAGGGAUCUCAUGACAAUUACUCACCUUUUGGAACAGGUUAUUGUAUUUUAUUCGACCUAUGUUCGAAAAUUCCUUAUGGGCCGUGUACAAUUCGACCACACACAAUUAAUUGUGGGUGGAAAAUAUCCAGGGAUUGAUGGAUAUUCAUAUGGAGACCAUCUG
rnacentral:lncRNA from 1 species